rnacentral:lncRNA from 1 species
GUAAGUUUAACAUGUCGCUCUUUCUUUGAAAGAAAACAAUAACCACAGAUAAACGUUAUCAGUAUCUUUGCAAUGACACAUCCCAAAACGGUGUGUACGGCCUCCACCUUUCAGCACUGUAGGCUUUCUGUCUGGUAAACAAUCACACUUUAGUGGAAGUUCAGUGAUGCUUGUGGAGACUUUAACGUUAGCUGUAUGGUUUACAGCUAGCCAGCUCUGGCCUUUAGUCCUUCGGAGUUCAAAGUCAAGCUGUUCCACUCUGAUGUUGAUGAAAGACCGACUGGCAUGCAGAAACAGCGGCAGGAGAGGGUUGGGCGGGUGGAACCACCGCUAAAAGUCGCCAAAACAGACAACUCUGAAGGUGGGUUUUCGAUGAUACGUAGGGUUGACAGGAGGAGCCAAGGACAAAGUGUUGCAUCAACAAUCAGGUAUGUACAGCAAACAUCAACCACACAUUACAGAGGCAACAGGCAGGGUGGUCUGUGUUGUAUUACGUUCACUACUGUCAUACAGAAGCCACAUCUAUC